rnacentral:tRNA from 1 species
UCGGCGCCGGGCGGGAGGCGACGGCGGCCUGAUGCGCCGCCGGGUCGGCCUGAGCCUGGCUCUGGCCGUGGCUCUGGCCAUGGCUCUGGGC